rnacentral:rRNA from 1 species
CCUACGGGUGGCAGCAGUGGGGAAUAUUGGGCAAUGGGCGCAAGCCUGACCCAGCAACGCCGCGUGAAGGAAGAAGGCUUUCGGGUUGUAAACCUCUUUUUUCAGGGAAGAAUAGAAGACGUUACCUGACGAAUAAGCCACAGCUAACUACGUGCCAGCAGCCGCUGGAAUGCGUGGGGUGCAAGUAUUGUCCGGAUUUACUGGGUGUAAAGGGCGUGUAGGCGGGUUGACAAGUCAGAUGGGAAAUCCUGGGGCUUAGACGCAGACCUGCCGUGGAAACUGUCGAGCUUGAGUACUGGAGAGGUAGGCGGAAUGCCCAGUGUAGCGGUGAAAUGCGUAGAUAUUAGGAGGAACACCGGUGGCGAAGGCGGUGUGCUGGACAGCAACUGACGGUGAGGCGCGAAAGCGUGGGGAGCAAACAGGAUUAGAUACCCGUGUAGUC